AUUGAACGCUGGCGGCAGGCCUAACACAUGCAAGUCGAACGGUAACAGGAAGAAGCUUGCUUCUUUGCUGACGAGUGGCGGACGGGUGAGUCAUGUCUGGGAAACUGCCUGAUGGAGGGGGAUAACUACUGGAAACGGUAGCUAAUACCGCAUAACGUCGCAAGACCAAAGAGGGGGACCUUCUGGCCUCUGGCCAUCGGAUGUGCCCAGAUGGGAUUAGCUAGUAGGUGGGGUAACGGCUCACCUAGGCGACGAUCCCUAGCUGGUCUGAGAGGAUGACCAGCCACACUGGAACUGAGACACGGUCCAGACUCCUACGGGAGGCAGCAGUGGGGAAUAUUGCACAGUGGGCGGAAGCAUGAUGCAGCCAGGCCGCGUGUAUGAAGAAGGCCUUCGGGUUGUAAAGUACUUUCAGCGGGGAGGAAGGGAGCAAAGUUAAUACCUUUGCUCAUUGACGUUACCCGCAGAAGAAGCACCGGCUAACUCCGUG
rnacentral:rRNA from 1 species